CCUACGGGUGGCUGCAGUAAGGAAUAUUGGACAAUGGCGGAGACGCUGAUCCAGCUAUCCCGCGUGCAGGAUGACGGCCCUACGGGUUGUAAACUGCUUUAGACUGGGGCGAAAAAGUGGGAUUCAUCCUACAUUGACGGUACCAGUAAAAUAAGCACCGGCUAACUCCGUGCCAGCAGCCGCGGUAAUACGGAGGGUGCCAGAGUUAUUGGGAAUCACUGGGUAUAAGGGGGCCGUUUACGGCUGGAGAGAAAGGCCAUGGCUCAACUAUGGGAUUGCUUUUGAUACUGACGAGCUUGGAUUAGGACGAGGUUGGCGGAAUGUGGCAAGUAGCGGUGAAAUGCAUAGAUAUGCCAUAGAAUACCGAUUGCGAAGGCAGCUGACUAGACCUAUAUUGACGCUGAGGCACGAAAGCGUGGGGAGCGAACAGGAUUAGAUACCCCAGUAGUC
rnacentral:rRNA from 1 species